UAACGGCGUCUUUCCUAUAAAAACAACACUAUAUGUUCAUUGCUUCUCACCCAGCCUCCGAAGUCUAUGAUGCCCCCUUUGAAAUUCUCUUCAUCUUUUGCAGUUUAGUAUUGAGAGAGAGGGAGGAGGAUGUGGCGAUGAUGAUAAAGCUAUCUCACUCUCGAAUUUGAUUGAGAAGCAUCGAUGAUUUUCACUUCAAGCACUUUUGAGCUGC